AGAGUUUGAUCCUGGCUCAGGACGAACGCUGGCGGCGUGCCUAAUACAUGCAAGUCGAGCGGUCUCUUCGGGGAUAGCGGCGGACGGGUGAGUAACACGUAGGCAACCUGCCUGUAAGAUCGGGAUAACUACCGGAAACGGUAGCUAAGACCGGAUAGCUGGUUUUCUCGCAUGAGAAGAUCAUGAAACACGGAGUAAUC
rnacentral:rRNA from 1 species